rnacentral:rRNA from 1 species
GACGAACGCUGGCGGCGUGCUUAACACAUGCAAGUCGAGCGGUAAGGCCCUUUCGGGGGUACACGAGCGGCGAACGGGUGAGUAACACGUGGGUGACCUGCCCUUAGCUCUGGGAUAAGCCUGGGAAACUGGGUCUAAUACCGGAUAUGACUCCAUGACGCAUGUUGUGGGGUGGAAAGCCUUGUGCGGCUAGGGAUGGGCCCGCGGCCUAUCAGCUUGUUGGUGGGGGUGAUGGCCAACCAAGGCGACGACGGGUAGCCGGCCUGAGAGGGCGACCGGCCACACUGGGACUGAGACACGGCCCAGACUCCUACGGGAGGCAGCAGUAGGGAAUCUUGCGCAAUGGGCGAAAGCCUGACGCAGCCAUGCCGCGUGAAUGAUGAAGGUCUUAGGAUUGUAAAAUUCUUUCAGCGGGGACGAUAAUGACGGUACCCGCAGAAGAACGCCCCGGCUAACUUCGUGCCAGCCGCCGCCGUAAU